rnacentral:rRNA from 1 species
CUAGGUAGGAAGAAGAUUCUAAGGCCAACGGGAGAAGGGUUGUUAAGGAACUCGGCAAAUUGACCCCGUAACUUCGGGAGAAGGGGUGCUCUAGAGAUAGAGCCGCAGAGAAUCGGCCCAAGCAACUGUUUACCAAAAACACAGGUUUGUGCUAAAUCGAAAGAUGACGUAUACGAGCUGACGCCUGCCCGGUGCUGGAAGGUUAAGAGGAGAUGUGCAAGCAUUGAAUCGAAGCCCCAGUGAACGGCGGCCGUAACGAUAACGGUCCUAAGGUAGCGAAAUUCCUUGUCAGGUAAGUUCUGACCCGCAUGAAAGGCGUAAUGAUUUGGGCACUGUCUCGACAGCCCGCCCGGCGAAAUUGUAGUACCGGUGAAGAUGCCGGUUACCCGCGACAAGACGGAAAGACCCCAUGGAGCUUUACUGUAGCCUAAUAUUGGGUUUCGAUGUUGCAUGCACAGGAUAGAUGGGACACUGGGAAGCAAGUGCUUUGGCAUUUGUGGAGUGGCCGUUGGGAUACCAUCCUUGCGAUAUUGGAAUUCUAACCUGCGCCUUUGAAUCAAGGCGGGGGACAUUGUUAGGUGGGCAGUUUGACUGGGGCGGUCGCCUCCUAAAGAGUAACGGAGGCGUUCAAAGGUUCGCUCAGCUUGAACGGAAAUCAAGCAAAAGAGUGCAAACGCAGAAGCGAGCCUAACUGCGAGACUGACGGGUCGAGCAGUAACGAAAGUUGGAGUUAGUGAUCCGGUGGUAUGUGAGUGGAAAUGCCAUCGCUCAACGGAUAAAAGUUACCCUGGGGAUAACAGGCUGAUCUCCCCCAAGAGUCCACAUCGACGGGGAGGUUUGGCACCUCGAUGUCGGCUCAUCGCAUCCUGGGGCUGUAUUCGGUCCCAAGGGUUUGGCUGUUCGCCAAUUAAAGCGGUACGCGAGCUGGGUUCAGAACGUCGUGAGACAGUUCGGUCCCUAUCUGUCGUGGGCGCAGGAUAUUUGAUGGGAGCUGUUCCUAGUACGAGAGGACCGGAGCGGACGUACCUCUGGCGCACCAGUUGUUCUGCCAAGGGCAUAGCUGGGCAACUAUGUACGGAUCGGAUAAACGCUGAAAGCAUCUAAGCGUGAAGCCGACCCAAAGAUAAGAUAUCCCAUUGUUUCAAACAAGUAAGACCCCUUGAAGACUACAAGGUUGAUAGGCACGAUGUGUAAGUGGAGUGAUCCAUUCAGCAAGCGUGUACUAAUAGGUCGAGGGCUUGACC